rnacentral:rRNA from 1 species
AGAUUGAACGCUGGCGGCAGGCCUAACACAUGCAAGUCGAGCGGUAGAGAGGUGCUUGCAUCUCUUGAGAGCGGCGGACGGGUGAGUAAUGCCUAGGAAUCUGCCUAGUGGUGGGGGAUAACGUUCGGAAACGGACGCUAAUACCGCAUACGUCCUACGGGAGAAAGCGGGGGACCUUCGGGCCUCGCGCCAUUAGAUGAGCCUAGGUCGGAUUAGCUAGUUGGUGAGGUAAUGGCUCACCAAGGCGACGAUCCGUAACUGGUCUGAGAGGAUGAUCAGUCACACUGGAACUGAGACACGGUCCAGACUCCUACGGGAGGCAGCAGUGGGGAAUAGUUGGACAAGUGGGACGGAAGCCUAGAUCCAGCAACGCCGCGUGAGGGAUGACGACGUUCGGUUAGUAAACCUCUUUCAGUACCGACGAACGCGCAAGUGACGGUAGGAC